ACAAACUCCCAAUGACCAUAGCAGAAGUGUUCAUGUCGCAGUCCCGUCAGAUUCUAACAGAUCUGCUAAGUUUGCU
rnacentral:ribozyme from 1 species